AGUCGAGCGAGCUUGCCUAGAUGAAUUUGGUGCUUGCACCAGAUGAAACUAGAUACAAGCGAGCGGCGGACGGGUGAGUAACACGUGGGUAACCUGCCCAAGAGACUGGGAUAACACCUGGAAACAGAUGCUAAUACCGGAUAACAACACUAGACGCAUGUCUAGAGUUUAAAAGAUGGUUCUGCUAUCACUCUUGGAUGGACCUGCGGUGCAUUAGCUAGUUGGUAAGGUAACGGCUUACCAAGGCAAUGAUGCAUAGCCGAGUUGAGAGACUGAUCGGCCACAUUGGGACUGAGACACGGCCCAAACUCCUACGGGAGGCAGCAGUAGGGAAUCUUCCACAAUGGACGCAAGUCUGAUGGAGCAACGCCGCGUGAGUGAAGAAGGGUUUCGGCUCGUAAAGCUCUGUUGGUAGUGAAGAAAGAUAGAGGUAGUAACUGGCCUUUAUUUGACGGUAAUUACUUAGAAAGUCACGGCUAACUACGUGCCAGCAGCCGCGGUAAUACGUAGGUGACAAGCGUUGUCCGGAUUUAUUGGGCGUAAAGCGAGUGCAGGCGGUUCAAUAAGUCUGAUGUGAAAGCCUUCGGCUCAACCGGAGAAUUGCAUCAGAAACUGUUGAACUUGAGUGCAGAAGAGGAGAGUGGAACUCCAUGUGUAGCGGUGGAAUGCGUAGAUAUAUGGAAGAACACCAGUGGCGAAGGUGGCUCUCUGGUCUGCAACUGACGCUGAGGCUCGAAAGCAUGGGUAGCGAACAGGAUUAGAUACCCUGGUAGUCCAUGCCGUAAACGAUG
rnacentral:rRNA from 1 species